rnacentral:tRNA from 1 species
AGGAGUGUAGCUUAGUAGUAGAGUGCUCACUUGGCAUGUGGAAGGCCUUGGGUUCAAUCCCCAGUACUGCAA